rnacentral:rRNA from 1 species
GACGAACGCUGGCGGCGCGCCUAACACAUGCAAGUCGAACGAGCGAGAGAGAGCUUGCUUUCUCGAGCGAGUGGCGAACGGGUGAGUAACGCGUGAGGAACCUGCCUCAAAGAGGGGGACAACAGUUGGAAACGACUGCUAAUACCGCAUAAGCCCACGGCUCGGCAUCGAGCAGGGGGAAAAGGAGCAAUCCGCUUUGAGAUGGCCUCGCGUCCGAUUAGCUAGUUGGUGAGGUAACGGCCCACCAAGGCGACGAUCGGUAGCCGGACUGAGAGGUUGAACGGCCACAUUGGGACUGAGACACGGCCCAGACUCCUACGGGAGGCAGCAGUGGGGAAUAUUUCACAAUGGGGGAAACCCUGAUGCAGCGACGCCGCGUGGAGGAAGAAGGUCUUCGGAUUGUAAACUCCUGUUGUUGGGGAAGAUAAUGACGGUACCCAACAAGGAAGUGACGGCUAACUACGUG